rnacentral:rRNA from 1 species
GCAUGAAGUCGGAAUUGCUAGUAAUCGCGGAUCAGCAUGCCGCGGUGAAUACGUUCCCGGGCCUUGUACACACCGCCCGUCACACCAUGGGAGCCGGGGGUACCUGAAGUGCGUAACCGCGAGGAGCGCCCUAGGGUAAAACUGGUGACUGGGGCUAAGUCGUAACAAGGUACC